UGACCUCACAAAUUUCAAUUUCAAUAGGAUGAAAAGGUUUUGAUUCUGAGAAGUGAAUAAAAACAUGACCCCAUUACUGAAAAUAAGGACUGAAAAUAACAACUUCCCUGUUUAAACCUGCUAAUGACAGUGACGUGAAUCUGGCAUUCUUUAACUUAGCAAAUGCCUUUUGCUAACUUUUGCUUUGCCUUUAGUGUACACAAGAAAGCUUUGGAGUAAACAUAUAUGGUUUCGAUGUAAAAGAAUGCAUCUGAUCCAAGUGACAGGUUACACUUCAUGGAAUGACAUGCAAAGGUCGCCGGCACUGCGGAGGGUGUCUUUGGCGCCAGUCUUCUGAGGAUGUUGAUGGCUGUUUUGCAAUAUGGUGAAGAUCGGGUAUCCGCAGGCUACAGAAGAUCUCAUUGUGGUUGGGAGCAAGAAUUUGACGACCUGGAGUUGUCUGCCCUACUUCGUUUCUCUGCCUUUUGAGUCAGUCACUCCGAGAUGAUGAUUUAAUCCUUGUCCGGAGCAGAGGAAGAUACAGGAUGAGAGUAGGCUAAGUACAGAAGUUGUCCAGGAGAGAGGUGUGCACGUGCAGAGAGCCCAUCAGGGAGGCCUGAGGAAAGUGGUCACGGGGUCUCUCGGCCCACUGCACACGGGGACACAGCUGAUUCUGGGAAACAGAAUGUACUCCAACCAGGCUCACCGUCAAAGCAAACUGAAGCCAAACUAUCCAAUCCCAAAAUCUAGCACAAUUAACUUCUCCAGUUUUCUCUUUAUUUUCCCUAUUAAAGUUCAAAAGGUCAUUCUGGAACACUUUUCCAG
rnacentral:lncRNA from 1 species